UGUCUCAUCACCUCAAUUUUAAAUUAUGUGUGAUGAACAGCUUUUUCGAAAUCAAAGAGUUCCUUGUAGGUAAGUAGUGUCUAAAAUUCAGUUGCAUACUUUAACUCUUUAUAAAUGGAGUUGAAGAAUAUUUGUAAUCUGAUAGACAGAUGUCAAAAUAUACAAGCAAUCACAGGACAAAAACGGAUGAGAUACCAAAAGGCGAUCAAACACCUAUAAGUCUUAGAUACAAUCAAGAUGACAGACAUAAGUGACAUCACUCCAUAACACGUGUAUAAUAGAUAUAGGAAGAUGUGGCAUGAGUGCCAAUGAGACAACUAAGUCACAAUUCAUAAAAGUAAACCAUUAUAGGUCAAGUUACGGUCUUUAACACGGAGCCUAGGCUCACACCAAACAGCAAGCUAUAAAAAUUACUAGUCUAAAACCAUUCAAACGGGAAAACUAACGGUCUUAUCUAUAUAAAAAACGAGAAACGAGAAACACCAUAAACCAACAAUAUUACUAGUGCCAUUGAUCCCAGAUAUAUUAAGAGAUGUAGUGAAGAUGCUACCAAAGGUCUCCCAACAAAAUAGUUUGUAGAAAAGAUAAUUAAAACUACGAUCAUUUAACAUAGCUCUUAAACAACAAAUAUGUCUGCGAAAAAUCUGUUUAUGAUAAAAAGUUUGCAUAAUGUAGGAUAUAAAACAUGACAAUAACACGCUAUACAUGUCAUGCGUCCAAAGCCUAUACAUGUCAUGCGUCCAAAGCCUAUACAUGUCAUGCGUCCAAAGCCUAUACAUGUCAUGCGUCCAAAGCGCUUUUCUGAAAUUGCCUUUAUAAGUAAUGCUCAAAGCCGAAAAACUGAAAGCCAAGAUUGUUCAAUAAUCUAAACAGUUGAAGAGCUAUAUAACCCAAAAGGACCCCAAAAAAUAGCCAAAUCCAUGUCGGUAUCGAAGUAAUGACUACUGAGCGGAUGCUACCCUCGAGGACUGAUAGUCAACCAGCAGAGGUAUCUAACCAGAACUAUAAAAGAUGAAAACAAAACAUGUGACAACUUUCAUUAAAGGGGAUCACAUUCGGCUUUUUUCGACAUUCAUCUAUCUCCUCAGUCUAACUUCACAUUUUUAUUUUUGCUAUACCUAUCGACAACGGCAGCUCAUUGGUUUAGAGCUAUCCAACUGAUAUAUAGAAUUUGAAUAUAGAUUUGUUACACGUUUCAAGAAGUUAUAUCAUGAUUUGUUUUAUCUGUCGAUGGAUUUGUGAAUUAUAAUCCAAUACUCAAUUUAGCUACUGUUUACAAAACAUUCCUUUAUGUUGGUGCAAAACCCAUGACGUCAACAAAAGCAUCAUAACAAUGAUUGGAAUUUACCAACAUUAACAUUUAUCAAUAACGAUUUUUUUCAUAUUACUCUGUUUCUAUUUUAAGCAUACAAAACAUCUGUGUUAAAAAUCGAUUUGGGUUCAAUGCUAAAAGUAUGAAACAAAUGCAAAUCAGGAGUUAUUAGAACGAAAUGGCGAACAAAUGAAUAACAAAUUUUUGAACGCAAUGCCAUUUACAAAUGGAAAUCGUUGAAUUUUGAAUAAUAUUUAUAAAACAACGGUUUCCCCAAAUUAGCCAAACAUUAAAGGAAUCACUGUGUUUCCAAAUAAUGUAAUAAAAUCCAUCUGGGAAAAUCCAAACGAUGAUCAGGAUUUUUGUUUUCAUUUAUUUCUGUUUAAAACAAUUUAAUUUACUUUUGAUUGUACAUGGAUUAAUUCACAACAGAUAUAUUAAUAUUUAGGGCACCAUUUAAUCGCCAAGAUGCGAAAGAAACCAUGGCAAAUUCAAGUUUCAUAAGACUAAGCAAAACUAACAACGCCACGACAAAAGAAAAUGAUAAAAAGACAAGUCUUGAAAUGAGAACAUAUAUAUAAAACUAAGGAUCGAAGAAUACAAAACCAUAAAAUAGCGGGAAUUAAUUCAGGUAGUUCAUUAGGGUCAGCAUCAGUAGUGAUCAUCAUGAAAGAACAAAGCAAUCGAUAAAUCUCAUUGUGUAAUGUCACAUUCUAGGAAAAGAUGACGGAUUGGGAUAACGACAAUUGGAACAUAUCUCCCUUCUGUUACCGUUACAAGAGCUAUUAUAAUUUCACAUUUCAUAUUACAUACUAUUAAGCGUAUUUAUCUGUGUUGUAAGUUUAAAGUAAAUUUCAAAAUAUCAAACGUUACUCCUGAUCGGCAUAAGUAGUUGUAACGUAAUUAAUUGGAGCAAAUUUUCAUUUUCAAUGUCACAGUAGUUACAUAAUGAAAUUGAGUAGGUCACGCACUGAUGUCAGUUAUGUCAUGAACUUUCAUGAAUAAAUAUAUAAAAAGAAGUGCAUGUAAAAUAUUUAACACUUUGUGUCAGAUCAUUUGUAUUCAAGAAGGUUGAACUUGAAGUGGAAAUAUAUGUUACUACUCCCUGUAAAGAAAGAUUGGAAAUAGACAAUCCUGAAACGUGAAAAACUACAGAUAGUACUAGUACCCCUCCCCCUUUUCCCUAGUUUUCUAGAAAUAGCAAAUAUAUUAUUUUACUUUAAGCUACUACUGUCCAAGAUCAGUUCCUUAAUUAUGCUAUAUACGAGCUAUAAGUAUAACAUCGUCUUGAACUGUAACUGGUUACUGAUUAAGAGGCAUAACCGUAUGUUAUAAAUUUAAGAAACUAUGAACAGUCUUGCUAAGUUAAUCAGUUAAUAACAUUUCAUUUUAGAAAAUUGAAGAUUCAAUGAAUUUCCAUCUCAAAUUGUGCAAACCAAAGUACAGACACAGAUAUAGAUAUAUAAUAACCGCAUGAUCUGUACAUAUUGUGUGCUAUAAGAAAAUCAAUAAAUCAAAUUUUAUUCAAAAUCAGAACAAUAUGUUUCAAAUAGAGGACGUAAUUAGCUAUUGAUUAGAUAUUGUUUCUGAUCAGGAGAAAAAAACGAAACAAAUUCCAUGAAGUCUCAGAAUGAAUUAUGAUUAAGAUUAUUUGAGAGAUACGAUUGAUUAUCUAAAAUAUUGUCAAACCAUCGAGGGUAUAUCACGCAUGUAACAUGCUUUUGAAUUGCAUGCAUUGCAGGGCUAGACAGAGAGAACAAAAUAGCCAAUUAUUUUGUUUUGGGAUAAGGACAAGUGCAAUUGAGCAAAUGCUUUCCCGUGAUUAUAACAACUUACAAAUAAAUAAUUCGUUACAGUUUCUGUGCUAUCAAUACAAUUCCUUUCUAUAGUUAGUAAUAAAACGAGGUUUAAUCAACCAUUUUUAUAGAUAAUACAUGUAUCAAGUCAGAAAUAUGACAGUUGUUAUCCAUUCGUUUGAUAUGUUCGAGCAUUUGAUUUUGCCAUUUGAUUGGGGACUUUCCGAUUAAAAUUGGAGUUCAGUAUUUUUGUGAUUUUAUUUUCAACUUAAAUAACAAUUCAGAGUACUUAGUAUAGUUUUGUUUUUGUUUGUCUUUGCUCACAAUAGCUAUAAUCCAAUACUGAAACUGAAACCAAAUGCCCCAAAUUCCAAAUUGACCACCCUAAUAUAACAUGUUUAUCAAGUAGUACGAAGUAUUCGAGACAAUUUAAAACUCGGUCAGUCGGAAAUCUACUUCCUACAUUGAAGUGUUUUUGUAGUCUAAUCAGAUUAUUAAGUUUUCAAGUUUUUACAAGGCAGGUUAUGUCAUUAUAUUUGUAGUUGCAGUAGGUUAUAUUUAAAGCUAGCCUUCUAUCAAAUAUCAUAUAAAUUUCCACUAGUGAUAUUAACCUUAGUUUGUGGCUGUUUCUAUAUAGGCUCAUUUGUGCGAAUUUUUUAAAUGUUCAAAUUUCCAUUUAUACAUUCUAUCAUGUAAAAAAAGACGCUUUGUGCACAUAGAAAUCGGUACAAUCAUAUAUAGUUCUUAUGGAGUGUGUAUAAGGGUCUGACUUUUAUUUUUUUUAUUAGAUUUCUACCCGCAGACACAUUUACAACCAUGGUAUACAUAGUAUACAUCUGUCGGCGAUAACCAUGCCUGCAUGAUGACAAUAUAAAAUGACAUAUUGUCAGGGGGGAUAUUAGAGGGAGUGUUCUCUGUGUCCUUGUGACAAAAACAUUUAAGUAAGCACAUACCCUAUUACUGCGGAUAACGAUACUGCAGAUGUAUAAGGUAUCACAUAAAACAUCUGUUGUUUGCUAUGUUUAACAACCUAUGAAACCUCGUUUAAUCCCCCAUUUUCUACAUAAGGAAAUGCCCAUAACGAAUCAGGAGUAUCAGAGUUCUUGUGAGGUUUUUAAUUAGAAGCAAGGGCGAAGAACUAUUUUUUUAGUUAUCGGGAACUACAGACACAAAUAUGAUGUAGAUAAACGAAAAAAAAAAUCGUUUUGAUUUCAAGUGGGGCCACAUAUUUGAUCGAAUCUGACAUUGAAACGGACGAUUGUGGUGUGUGCAUAUGUCUGUAUAUAUUUCUCAUGCGAGUUAGUUGUAAUCUUGAGUUUCGUUAUUCAUUUUCUGUUUUCGCAAUAAUGUUUAUGAUAAGCUUUUCAAUUAUGCGAAAUGUUUACAAUUCUAGUUUAACCUAUUUUCCAAGUAAAAUAAGAGAUUGUGUAUUUUUGCCACAUCGAACUCGGUCAGUCAGAAAUAUACUUCCUAUAUAUUAGUACAGCAGUAUUUAAUUAAUAGCCUUUGAAAUUAAUAUAAAAGGAUUGUCAAAAGCAUACAAACUAUUUCGUUUAUCAAACCACAAUACGGUUACACACGUCUGAAUAGCAUAAAAUAAACAAAACUUCUUUAUGUUUAGUUCGGAUCACAAGAGAAUAUUAAAAAAAAAAAUAGAUGAAAACGGAUUGCACUGAAUAUAUAUGAUAUCUACAAUGAUAAAUUAUAAAACUUUGAUCAUUGAAUUGCAAAGGUCAAAGAUACCUUUUAAUCAAUUAAAAUAUGAUUGACGUCGUUUCCUUCUUUAUGGAAUCUGUGUGGUUUUCAGUUUUUCUCCGAAUUAUACGAUCUAAAUCAAAUAAGUAUUCUGUAUGGUCAAAUUGCAGUUUCCUCAGAAAAUCUAGUUUUGUAACAUAACAAAUUGGCCAAUAGCAGCCUAACACACUAUGGCCAAUUUCUUGUUGCUACCUGUUUCCAUCCAUUACAAACUUUAACACAUAUACCCCACAAUCUGAAAUAGUUAUUUGGGCGUUGCAUAAUAAAAGCCUGUUUUAUGAAAGAUUUAUUAUUUUUAAUAAAUGAUUAAAGAAAAAGUAGUCAGAACUUGUUUACUACAUACCAGACAUAUUUAGGUAUCGAAAGUUGCAAUGUUAAAUUGUAGCGAAUACGACCGACGUAUACAUUUCCACUCAAUCUAAUUUCAGUUUAGACAAGUUUAAAAUUUUGUACAAAAGAAUGCAUUUUGCACAGGGAUUUAUUAUUUCACAAAGAUUUUCUACAUUUGAAAAUGCCUGUACCAAGUCAGGAAUAUGACAGUUCUUGUCCAUUUGUUUUUUAUGUGUUUUGUCAUUUGUUUUUGCCAUGUGAUCAUGAACUUUCCGAUUAGAUUUUUCUCUGAGUUCAGUUUUUUUGUGAUUUUAUUUUUUUGACAACAUGGUAAAUAUGAAACGAAAUAGUUUAAAUGAAUUCUCAUUUUGGAAAUUUACUUUUCACUUUGAGUAUUUGCCAAUAAAUAAUCGGCAUAUUUUUUUAAGCAUUGACAAAUUGAACUAUAUCUUAAUUUUUCAUGCAAUAAUAGAUUUUAAAUGGUAGUACUUUCUAGCUAAACGUCUUUCUAAGAAACAAGUUUAAAGUUAUCACACUUCAGAUUUUAAAGAUAUCAUAAAUCAGUUUAAACCUUGAACGAUAACAAAAUACAAAGAUAGUAUUGAGAUUCUUGUUUAUGGGAAGGCUGGUCCUCUACCUUGCAAUAUACGGGUAUUACAAGACCAAACAGAUAAAGGACAGAGAACCAGGGUAGUUCGUGGUAUGGUCGUUCGUGCAAAGAAUUACAGUGAAACGAAAACUAAAAUCUAUAUACAACAUUUUUUAGGAAUGAGCUUUCAGAUACUAGUACGCGACAGUCUUGAAUCUUUUGAUUUCAACAAAAUAAUCGUAUACGAAUGAAACAUCGAUGGACCAUGUGAUGAGACUGAAAUAAUUAUGGUAUUGAGCGGCCAAGACUAAAAAUGGGCCAGAAUUAGUAGGGAAAAAACAUAAAAUGCAAAAGGAAACUAAAAUUUAUGCGACGGAGAGUACUAUCCGUGAAGUUUACCAUAUCCCGCUACCAAUACGACACUCGUUGCAAAACCUGCAGUGGAUAACCAGUUGGAAUGCGCACCAAGCAAACAAAGUAGAAUAUUAAUGUGCGUAUUUGUUAUGUGUUCAGGGGAGGCGGAAGAUAGCGAAUGAAUAUUCAAAUCUUCAGUUAAAGACAAAAUGACAACGUAAAAAUUAUAUAAUGGCAC
rnacentral:lncRNA from 1 species